GAUAAUAGAUUUAACACCCUUGAAAAUGACAACAAAUCCUAACAUGCUGGCCCCAAAUAUUGGGCUUGUAUUGGGUCUCGUAGCUGACUAGAGAUGCUGGCAUAAGGCCCAUAAUAAAUGAAAGUUCCAACAUCAGACAUGAUGGCCCAUUUUAGAAAAUAGAAUUGUUGGAAGGAAAGAAGUAAUAUUUUCUACUGAGUAGGUCAAGAACGUAUUCUCAAUCAAAUCAAUGCAAGAACAAAACAUUGAUAUAACAUGUGUACUCACUACUCAGUAAUAGGUUCAGACAAACCCCUCCCUUCUUAUGUGGGGAUAUGUCAACUUGUGAGGGCAAUGUGAAUAGGAAGUUCGAAAAGAUUUUCUCUUGAGAUGAAAAUCUUGUGCACAACGACACCUUACCUGUUCAUGGCUUGCUUGCUAGCUAAAGAUAAGGUUAAUGGCCUUACAACGCAGAGGCCAAUAAAAAGAGGAAAAGAACAUAAAAUGAAAGACAAGACAAUAUUUGAGAGGUUACUAUUGCAAAUCGGCAGUAUCCAUAUCUGAGAGAUGACAAAGCUCGCACCUUCCUGCACUCAAAAGCAGCCAAAUAUUAACACUUUCAGCUCUCUCAUGGUCCUUUUGGCCAUGUAUUUGGUGGAAUCAUAUGAUCAAUGCACAUGCAGCUGCUAAGCCAUGGAGAAAAGCAUGGAACUUUCUUCUUUCCAGGGCGGCUCUGUAGAGGGAUCUCUCCAUUACAAUUUAAUAACACCAACCCUAGCUAUCAAGGUCCUCUCUAUAUUAAAAUCUUCUGUUGAAAUUCAUCAGUACUGAUCUUGUCGAUCAAGGUUAGCAAAAGGGUAAAAUAAAAGAUUAAUUAAGAGAUGGGAAUUAUUUUCAGCAUCUGGUAGAACUAUAUAGAACAUGCAUGAUCAAGAAAGUGAUAAUAUGGACAAAGUUCUAAUCUAUUAGUGUCCUUGUGUGUGGCUGAAAGGCCAUAGCUCUCUCAUUGCACAUCAAAUCAAAUGAUGUUCC
rnacentral:lncRNA from 1 species